AUUGAACGCUGGCGGCAGGCUUAACACAUGCAAGUCGAGCGAGCGGCUGACGGGUGAGUAAUGUCUGGGAAACUGCCUGAUGGAGGGGGAUAACUACUGGAAACGGUAGCUAAUACCGCAUACCAUCAGAUGUGCCCAGAUGGGAGUAGCUAGUAGGUGGGGUAAUGGCUCACCUAGGCGACGAUCCCUAGCUGGUCUGAGAGGAUGACGAGCCCAACUGGAACUGAGACAAGGUCCAGACUCCUACGGGAGGCGGCAGGGGGGAAUAUGGAACAAUGGGUGCAAGCCUGAUGCAGCCAUGCCGCGUGGGUGAAGAAGGCCUUCGGGUUGUAAAGCACUUUCAGCGAGGAGGCGUUACUCGUAGAAGAAGAACCGGCUAACUCCGUGCCAGCAGCCGCGGUAAUAC
rnacentral:rRNA from 1 species